UAUUCAGUUUACUCCCAAAUGUCCUCAUUAUUGGAAGCCAUGCUCUCUUACUAUUGGUCUCAUUUUCUGUUUCUGAAAUGGUCAUUUUCCUCCCAAGCAGCUUUGGCCUGGUUCAGAAUAGAAAGCACUGCAAAAUGUGCAGAUUGAAGACAAACGGUCACUCAGUUACUUCAAGGUCUUUGAGAUUAAUCAUGGAAAGCAACAUCCUGGUCUUCGGGAUGCUGGCAGGAGCUGAUGCGGGUGAGAUGAAGGAUAGAUGAUGGAGAAGAACCACUUGCACAAUCCCCAGAGGACAGGCCUUCUGGGCCCCUAGCCCUCUCUCUGCUGGGUGCCCUGCAGACCCAGAUACAGCCGAGCACAAAACAGGGAAUGAAUGCCACCUCCCACAACCCGUGGCUCCCAAGAACAAUCCACACCUUAAGGAUUCUUGCAGGUAAAAGGGAUGCUUGGAGAGAGAACCAGUAGGAUGAGGCUCCCAUGGCAGAGAUUAGGUGAAACAAAGAAACAUCUCUUCAUUCUUACCUUCUAAGACUGUUGGCUGUUUUCCUCCCCGAUGAACAUUCUUCUCUUAUUUAUGAGAUGACACCUAUGUAAGUAUUCUGGCAACAAGUUAGUUAUUCACUUAA